rnacentral:rRNA from 1 species
UACGUAGGGGGCGAGCGUUGUCCGGAUUUAUUGGGCGUAAAGCGCACGCAGGCGGUCUUUUACGUUUUGAGUGACAGGUGGUAGCUCAACCACCACAGGCCUUGAAAUACGGGAAGACUUGAGGACGAGAGAGGGAUGCGGAAUUCCAGGUGGAGCGGUGAAAUGCGUAGAGAUCUGGAAGAACACCAAAGGCGAAGGCAGCAUCCUGGCUCGUAUCUGACGCUGAUGUGCGAAAGCUAGGGGAGCGAACGGG